UCGUCUGGCUGAUGUAAUGGCUACAAGGAAAACUGUCUUCCAGGACAGGUAUAGCAGUGAGCAAGUUGUCAAUGGCUCGAAUGGUGGCCUGGUUAAAACCAG